CCUGGAUGUGAUGUUUGCUGCACAGCCUCGGGCUCUUCCUCUAGUUAGAGCUGGAGAAGUCAGGAACUUGGAAACUCCAAUAGGAACAGGCAACAAGAGUACCAACAAAAGCCUCUCCUUCUAACGAAAGGA
rnacentral:lncRNA from 13 species